AGCCCCCUCUAGCCCGACCUCCCCCCCCCCCCGCCCCCAGUAAGAACCCACUUACCACUUAAACUAAAACAUUCCACCCCGGCCUUAGUAUAGGCGAUAGAAAAGGCCUUCCCCGGCGCUAUAGAGAUUUGUACCGCAAGGGAAAGAUGAAAUAAUAAUGAAAAUCCAAGCAACAAACAGCAAAGAUAAGCCCUUGUACCUUUUGCAUCAUGAUUUAGCUAGAACAACCAAGCAAAGCGCCCUUCAGCUUGCCCUCCCGAAACCCAAGCGAGCUACUUGCAAGCAGCUAACCAUGAGCGAACCCGUCUCUGUAGCAAAAGAGUGGGACGACUUGCUAGUAGAGGUGAAAAGCCAACCGAGCUGGGUGAUAGCUGGUUGCCUGUGAAACGAAUUUUAGUUCCCCCUUGACCCCCCUCCCUCAUGGACGACAACAACUAACCCCCCUGUGUGGGUCAAGAGCUAUUUAAAGGGGGUACAGCCCCUUUAAAAAAGAACACAACCUCCCCUAGCGGAUAACCCCCUUCACGUAUGACUGUAGGCCUUCAAGCAGCCACCAACAAAGAGUGCGUCAAAGCUCCCAUCCCACAAAAAAAUCUUCAUACAAUAUGACUCCCUUCCCACUAACAGGCCAACCUAUAAUAAUAGGAGAAUUAAUGCUAGAAUGAGUAACUAGGGGCCUCCCCUCUUAAGCGCAAGCUUACGCACAACUAUUAACAGACUUAAUUAUACCCAAAUUUCAACAAGACUCAAUAUUCCCCUGCCUCUGUUAACCCGACUCAGGAGCGCCUACUAGAACGAUUAAAACCUGUAAAAGGAACUAGGCAAACCCAAGGCCCGACUGUUUACCAAAAACAUAGCCUUCAGCAAACCAAGUAUUGAAGGUGAUGCCUGCCCAGUGACUCCAUUCAACGGCCGCGGUAUCCUAACCGUGCGAAGGUAGCGCAAUCAAUUGUCCCAUAAAUCGAGACUUGUAUGAAUGGCUAAACGAGGUCUUAACUGUCUCUUACAGGUAAUCAGUGAAAUUGAUCCUCCUGUGCAAAAGCAGGAAUAAGAACAUAAGACGAGAAGACCCUGUGGAACUUAAAAAUCGUAAGUCACUGCAUACCAAACCUAAACCCUAAAGGCCCACUGCCCUCCCACGCUGUCUUACAUUUUUCGGUUGGGGCGACCUUGGAGUAAAGCGAAACCUCCAAAAAUAAGACCACCCCUCUUAACCUAGAGCUACCCCUCAACGUGCAAAUAGCAACCUGACCCAAUAUAAUUGACCAAUGGACCAAGCUACCCCAGGGAUAACAGCGCAAUCUCCUUAAAGAGCCCAUAUCGACAAGGAGGUUUACGACCUCGAUGUUGGAUCAGGACAUCCUAAUGGUGCAGCCGCUAUUAAGGGUUCGUUUGUUCAACGAUUAAUAGUCCUACGUGAUCUGAGUUCAGACCGGAGCAAUCCAGGUCGGUUUCUAUCUAUGACAAGCCUCUCCUAGUACGAAAGGACCGGAAAGACAGGGCCCAUGCCACAAGUAAGCCCUCCCCUCAAGUAAUGAAAUCAACUGAAUUACCUAAGGGUUACCCACUCACCACUCCUAGAAAAGGAG
rnacentral:rRNA from 1 species